rnacentral:rRNA from 1 species
GUUGAUAAGGUUAAGUGAAUAAGGGCACACGGUGGAUGCCUUGGCACUAGGAGCCGAUGAAGGACGGGACUAACACCGAUAUGCUUUGGGGAGCUGUACGUAAGCUAUGAUCCAGAGAUUUCCGAAUGGGGGAACCCAACAUCUUUAAUAGGAUGUUACGAUUGUGUGAAUACAUAGCACAUUCGAGGUAGACGCAGAGAACUGAAACAUCUAAGUACCUGCAGGAAGAGAAAGAAAAUUCGAUUCCCUGAGUAGCGGCGAGCGAAACGGGAAAAGCCCAAACCAGCAAGCUUGCUUGUUGGGGUUGUAGGACUCCAAUAUGGUAGUUCUUUCAGAUAGUCGAAUGACUUGGAAAAGUCAGUCAAAGAGGGUAAAAACCCCGUAGACGAAAUGUGGAAGACACCUAGGAGGAUCCUGAGUACGGCGGAACACGAGAAAUUCCGUCGGAAUCCGGGAGGACCAUCUCCCAAGGCUAAAUACUCCCUAGUGACCGAUAGUGAACCAGUACCGUGAGGGAAAGGUGAAAAGCACCCCGGAAGGGGAGUGAAAUAGAACCUGAAACCGUGUGCCUACAACAAGUCAAAGCCCGUUAAUGGGUGAUGGCGUGCCUUUUGUAGAAUGAACCGGCGAGUUACGAUUGCAUGCGAGGUUAAGUUGAAGAGACGGAGCCGCAGCGAAAGCGAGUCUGAAUAGGGCGUUUGAGUAUGUAGUCGUAGACCCGAAACCAUGUGAUCUACCCAUGUCCAGGUUGAAGGUGCGGUAAAACGCACUGGAGGACCGAACCCACGUACGUUGAAAAGUGCGGGGAUGAGGUGUGGGUAGCGGAGAAAUUCCAAACGAACUUGGAGAUAGCUGGUUCUCUCCGAAAUAGCUUUAGGGCUAGCCUCGGAAUUGAGAAUGAUGGAGGUAGAGCACUGUUUGGACUAGGGGCCCAUCUCGGGUUACCGAAUUCAGAUAAACUCCGAAUGCCAUUCAUUCAUAUCCGGGAGUCAGACUGUGAGUGAUAAGAUCCAUAGUCGAAAGGGAAACAGCCCAGACCACCAGCUAAGGUCCCAAAAUAUAUGUUAAGUGGAAAAGGAUGUGGGGUUGCACAGACAACUAGGAUGUUGGCUUAGAAGCAGCCACCAUUUAAAGAGUGCGUAAUAGCUCACUAGUCGAGUGACCCUGCGCCGAAAAUGUACCGGGGCUAAACAUAUUACCGAAGCUGUGGAGUACACCUUUAGGUGUAUUGGUAGGAGAGCGUUCUAAGGGCGUUGAAGGCAGAUCGUGAGGACUGCUGGAGCGCUUAGAAGUGAGAAUGCCGGUAUGAGUAGCGAAAGACAGGUGAGAAUCCUGUCCACCGAAUGACUAAGGUUUCCUGGGGAAGGCUCGUCCGCCCAGGGUUAGUCGGGACCUAAGCCGAGGCCGACAGGCGUAGGCGAUGGAUAACAGGUUGAUAUUCCUGUACCCGUUGUUUUUGUUUGAGCAAUGGAGGGACGCAGGAGGCUAAGGAAUGCAGACGAUCGGAAAUGUCUGUCCAAGCAGUAAGUCUGAAGAGGAGUCAAAUGCUUCUUUUCUUAAGGACAAGCUGUGAUGGGGAGGGAAAUAAUAGUACCGAAGUUCCUGAUGUCACACUGCCGAGAAAAGCUUCUAGUGAGAAAACAGCGGCCCGUACCGCAAACCGACACAGGUAGUCGAGGAGAGAAUCCUAAGGUGAGCGAGAGAACUCUCGUUAAGGAACUCGGCAAAAUGACCCCGUAACUUCGGGAGAAGGGGUGCUGAUCAUACGAUCAGCCGCAGUGAAUAGGCCCAAGCGACUGUUUAUCAAAAACACAGGUCUCUGCAAAAUCGUAAGAUGAAGUAUAGGGGCUGACGCCUGCCCGGUGCUGGAAGGUUAAGAGGAGUGCUUAGCGCAAGCGAAGGUACGAAUUGAAGCCCCAGUAAACGGCGGCCGUAACUAUAACGGUCCUAAGGUAGCGAAAUUCCUUGUCGGGUAAGUUCCGACCCGCACGAAAGGCGUAACGAUUUGGGCACUGUCUCAACGAGAGACUCGGUGAAAUUUUAGUACCUGUGAAGAUGCAGGUUACCCGCGACAGGACGGAAAGACCCCAUGGAGCUUUACUGUAGUUUGAUAUUGAGUGUCUGUACCGCAUGUACAGGAUAGGUAGGAGCCGUAGAAAUCGGAACGCUAGUUUCGAUGGAGGCGCUGGUGGGAUACUACCCCUGCGUUAUG